rnacentral:tRNA from 1 species
GGAUAUAGCUCAGUGGUGCAGCACCUGCCUGUCAAGCACGAGACCCUGGGUUCGAUUCCUGGUACCA